rnacentral:rRNA from 2 species
AAAAUUAGAGUGUUCAAAGCAGGCAGAUCCAAUUUUCUGCCACCGAAUACAUUAGCAUGGGAUAAUGGAAUAGGACCCUGUCCUCCUAUUUUCAGUUGGUUUUGGCAGCGCGAGGACUAGGGUAAUGAUUAAUAGGGAUAGUUGGGGGCAUUAAUAUUUAAUUGUCAGAGGUGAAAUUCUUGGAUUUAUGAAAGAUUAACUUCUGCGAAAGCAUCUGCCAAGGAUGUUUUCAUUAAUCAAGAACGAAAGUUAGGGGAUCGAAGACGAUCAGAUACCGUCGUAGUCUUAACCAUAAACGAUGCCGACCAGCGAUUAGGAGACGUUGAAUACAAAACACCACCAUCGGCGCGGUCGUCCUUGGCGUCGGUCCUUCACGGGGCCGGCGCGAGGGCGGCUUAGCCCGGUGGCACCGGUGA